rnacentral:rRNA from 1 species
GACGGAGGAGGCAAGCGUUAUCCGGAAUUAUUGGGUGUAAAGGGUACGUAGGCGGCUGGUCAAGUCUGGGGUCAAAGGCCACAGCUCAACUGUGGGAAGGCCCUGGAAACUGACCGGCUAGAGUGAGGUAGGGGUUGCGGGAAUUCCCGGUGUAGCGGUGAAAUGCGUAGAGAUCGGGAAGAACACCUGAGGCGGAAGUGCGCAACUGGGCCCCAACUGACGUUGAGGUACGUAAGCUAGGGGAGCGAAUGGG